AUGAAGACGUAUGUUCCUACUUUACUCAUGCUUUCGUGGUUGCAGCUGGAUGGGGUGAGCCAAGGUGAGCAGGUGCAACAGCGUCCUUCCACCCUGAGAGUCCAGGAGGGAGCAAGAGCUGUCAUUAACUGCACAUAUGAAGACAGCAUGUCAUCCUACUUCCCUUGGUAUAAUCAAGAACCUGGAAAGCAUCCUAAGCUCAUUAUUGACAUUCGAUCAAAUAUGGAAAGAAAGGAGGACCAAAGACUGAUCAUUUCACAUGAUAAGAAAGCCAAACACGUUUCCCUGCACAUCACAGACACCCAGUUUGGAGACUCUGCCAUGUACUUCUGUGCUGCAAGUGCACACUGCUCCCGAGACACCUGCAGCCUGUCCUAA